AAACUGCGAUAAGUAGUGUGAAUUGCAUUUAGUGAAUCAUCGAAUCUUUGAACGCACCUUGCACUCACUGGUAUUCCGGUGAGUACGCCUGUUUCAGUAUCAUUGAAAACACACAAUCAAAACAUUUUCUUGGGUUUGAUUGGCUUUGGGUCUAUCAAAAAGUUUGGCUUGUUUCUUACAAGCCAAGCGGCCUGAAAUAUAUUGUCUGGCUAAUUGCAUCGUUGAUGAUCGCUAUUAGACUUUGGCUUUUUUAAAUGAACUGGAGGUUGAUUAACCAGUUUUAGCUUUAGUCAAAUGGUCAUUGUAAAAAAAAUCUCGAUCUUGGCUAGGUGUUUAUAGCCGAAAAUUUUUUUUUGGCUAUAACCGAAACCAAUAUAAUCACAUUUAGUUAUCGAUCUGAAAUCAGGUGGGACUACCCGCUGAACUUAAGC
rnacentral:misc_RNA from 1 species